GUUGUAUGGUCAAGUAAUGAAGCGCACAUGGUGGAUGCCUUGGCAGUCAGAGGCGAUGAAAGACGUGACAGCCUGCGAUAAGCUUCGGGGAGGCGGCAAUAUCCUGUGAUCCGGAGAUUUCUGAAUGGGGAAACCCACUUACCAUAAGGUAGGUAUCCUAAUUUAUUAGGAAGCGAACGAGGGGAAGUGAAACAUCUCAGUACCCUUAGGAAUAGACAUCAAUUGAGAUUCCCCUAGUAGCGGCGAGCGAACGGGGAGAAGCCGAUUAAUUCUAAUGUAGAAGAACAGCGUGGGAAAGCUGACCGUAGUAGGUGAUAGUCCUGUAUUCGAAACAUUAGAGUUAACAUAUUAAGUAGAGCGGGGCACGAGAAAUCCUGUUUGAAGAUGGGGGGACCAUCCUCCAAGGCUAAAUACUCCUGACUGACCGAUAGUGAACCAGUACCGUGAGGGAAAGGCGAAAAGAACCCCUGUGAGGGGAGUGAAAUAGAACCUGAAACCGUGUGCGUACAAGCAGUGGGAGCCCACUUGUUGGGUGACCGCGUACCUUUUGUAUAAUGGGUCAGCGACUUAUAUUCUGUAGCAAGGUUAACCGUUUAGGGGAGCCGUAGGGAAACCGAGUCUUAAUAGGGCGUUUAGUUGCAGGGUAUAGACCCGAAACCGAGUGAUCUAUCCAUGAGCAGGUUGAAAGUGCCGUAACAGGCACCGGAGGACCGAACCCACUGUCGUUGAAAAGCCAGGGGAUGACUUGUGGAUAGGGGUGAAAGGCUAAUCAAACUCGGUGAUAGCUGGUUCUCCCCGAAAGCUAUUUAGGUAGCGCCUCGGACGAACACCAUUGGGGGUAGAGCACUGUUUCGGCUAGGGGGUCAUACCGACUUACCAAACCGAUGCAAACUCCGAAUACCGAUGAGUGAUAUCCGGGAGACACACGGUGGGUGCUAACGUCCAUCGUGGAGAGGGAAACAACCCAGACCGCCAGCUAAGGCCCCAAAUUCCUAGUUAAGUGGGAAACGAGGUGGGAAGGCAUAGACAGCUAGGAGGUUGGCUUAGAAGCAGCCAUCCUUUAAAGAAAGCGUAAUAGCUCACUAGUCGAGUCGGCCCGCGCGGAAGAUGUAACGGGGCUCAAACUAGGAGCCGAAGCUGCGGAUUUGAAUUUGUUUUCAAGUGGUAGGGGAGCGUUGUGUAAGCCUGUGAAGGUGUGUUGUAAAGCAUGCUGGAGGUAUCACAAGAGCGAAUGCUGACGUGAGUAACGAUAAUGCGAGUGAAAAGCUCGCACGCCGGAAGAUCAAGGGUUCCAGUCCAACGUUAAUCGGGGCUGGGUGAGUCGACCCCUAAGGCGAGGCCGAAAGGCGUAGUCGAUGGGAAAUCGGUUAAUAUUCCGAUACUUGUUUAUAAUGCGAUGGAGGGACGGAGAAGGUUAUGUCAGCCUGGCGUUGGUUGUCCAGGUGAAAGGAUGUAGGUUUAUAGCUUAGGUAAAUCCGGGCUAUUCUAUACCGAGAUCUGAUAGCAAGCUGUACUUGUACAGCGAAGUGGCAAAUACCAUGCUUCCAGGAAAAGCUUCUAAGCAAUAGUUAUAAACGAAUCGUACCCUAAACCGACACAGGUGAUCAGGUAGAGAAUACCAAGGCGCUUGAGAGAACUCUGCUGAAGGAACUAGGCAAAAUGGUACCGUAACUUCGGGAGAAGGUACGCUGUUG
rnacentral:rRNA from 1 species